UACGGAGGGGGCUAGCGUUGUUCGGAAUUACUGGGCGUAAAGCGUACGUAGGCGGCUUGGCAAGUUAGAGGUGAAAGCCCGGAGCUCAACUCCGGAAUAGCCUUUGAGACUGCCUCGCUUGAACGUCGGAGAGGUGAGUGGAAUUCCGAGUGUAGAGGUGAAAUUCGUAGAUAUUCGGAAGAACACCAGUGGCGAAGGCGGCUCACUGGACGACUGUUGACGCUGAGGUACGAAAGCGUGGGGAGCAAACAGG
rnacentral:rRNA from 1 species